UACGUAGGGACCGAGCGUUGUCCGGAUUCAUUGGGCGUAAAGAGCUCGUAGGCGGCCACUCAAGUCGAAUGUGAAACCUCGAGGCUUAACCUCGAGCCUGCAUUCGAUACUGGGCGGCUAGAGUCUGGUAGGGGGAUCUGGAAUUCCUGGUGUAGCGGUGGAAUUCGUAGAUAUUAGGAAGAACACCAGUGGCGAAGGCGGCUCACUGGUCCGGUACUGACGCUGAGGUGCGAAAGCGUGGGGAGCAAACAGG
rnacentral:rRNA from 1 species